UAUUAAGUUAUUUGGUGAAUGACACGCAAAAGUUGAACUGCUCACGGAACGUUUAAUUUUUUAAAUUUACAUUGCAAUUCCCAAUUUUCUCUUGUCGAGAUCUGCACGAAUUACAAUAACGAAGUUCCGCCCACAUUUCUAUAUAAUAGACGACCUUUAAGAAACCCGCAGCGCAGUCGUCAACGCUUUGUUAACUGUCAAUAAUCGUCAGAAACCCGUUGCACUCUCCUUUUCCAGUGUACCGAUUUCUCAUCUGCAUCCUGGCGAACCGAAC